UACAGAGGUCUCAAGCGUUGUUCGGAUUCAUUGGGCGUAAAGGGUGCGUAGGCGGCGCGGUAAGUCGGGUGUGAAAUCUUGGAGCUUAACUCCGAAACUGUAUUCGAUACUGCCGUGCUUGAGGACUGGAGAGGAGACUGGAAUUUACGGUGUAGCGGUGAAAUGCGUAGAUAUCGUAAGGAAGACCAGUGGCGAAGGCGGGUCUCUGGACAGUUCCUGACGCUGAGGCACGAAGGCCAGGGAGCAAACGGG
rnacentral:rRNA from 1 species